rnacentral:lncRNA from 1 species
UUUCUUAGUUGACAAUGGCCAGUUAAAAAACCAACGGUCAAGCGUAGGUUUUUCCUGGUCAUUCUCAAGUACUUUUCUGAUGCUGACUUCCCAAGGUUCCUUAGUGUUACCUUGGCAAGUCUACAUCCUGGCCCCUCUUCCCAUCUUCUUACGGUUUGCGAGUGGGAGUGACAUUUGACAGUUUCCGCGAUUGUUGUAGUCGACAAGCCAAAAA